GUUGUAUUCAUCCAUGACUCCAAGGGAAGCAUAUGAGAAAAGCUAUGAGAAGUGAUCAUUAAAUGACCUGUGGCUUUUCCAUUUCUUUCUGUUGUACUCUUAUUUAAAGUUAAUUCUUGAAGAGGUGAUGUGUAGUCCCUAAUUCACUUCUGCAAGCAGGGCGUCUUACAGUGUUUGGAAGCACUGUCUGUCCGUGAGCACAUCUACAGGGUAUGCAGAGGCAGUAAUGGUAGGACAUCAGUCCACUGCAGUCCACGUCAGCUCUGUGGGAGUUCAGGUUUUUCUGUCAUUCUCCACCUUGAAACUUGUCCUUGUACAGAUCUUCCUAUGACUUCC
rnacentral:lncRNA from 1 species